AACGAACGUUAGCGGCGCGCCUAACACAUGCAAGUCGUGCGAGAAAGGGCUUCGGCCCCGGUAAAGCGGCGCACGGGUGAGUAACACGUAGGUAAUCUGCCCUCUGGUGGUGGAUAACCUUCCGAAAGGAAGGCUAAUACAGCAUAAGACCACGGUUUCGCAAGAGACUGGGGUAAAAGCGGGCCUCUUCAUGAAAGCUCGCUCCAGGGGAUGAGCCUGCGGCCCAUCAGCUAGUUGGUAGGGUAAUGGCCUACCAAGGCGAAGACGGGUAGCUGGUCUGAGAGGAUGAUCAGCCACACUGGAACUGAGACACGGUCCAGACUCCUACGGGAGGCAGCAGUGGGGAAUCUUGCGCAAUGGGCGAAAGCCUGACGCAGCGACGCCGCGUGAGUGAUGAAGGCCUUCGGGUUGUAAAGCUCUGUGGAGGGGGACGGAAUAAGUGUCGUCGAAUAGACGGCAUGAUGACGGUACCCCUUUAGCAAGCACCGGCU
rnacentral:rRNA from 1 species